rnacentral:rRNA from 1 species
UACGAAGGGUGCAAGCGUUACUCGGAAUCACUGGGCGUAAAGCGUGCGUAGGCGGUUCGUUAAGUCUGUUGUGAAAGCCCAGGGCUCAACCCUGGAAGUGCACUGGAUACGACGAAGCUGGAGUACUGAAGAGGAGAGCGGAAUUCCCGGUGUAGAGGUGAAAUUCGUAGAUAUCGGGAGGAACACCAGUGGCGAAGGCGGCUCUCUGGGCAGAUACUGACACUGAGACGCGAAAGCAUGGGGAGCAAACAGG